rnacentral:rRNA from 1 species
CUUUCCGUUGGGGGGGCCUGCGGAAGGAUCAUUACUGUGAUUUAUAUCUUAUACACAUGCGUGAGCGCACCAAACACCUAAAAUUGUAAUACUACCAGUCACUAAGUUUUAACAAAACAAAACUUUCAACAACGGAUCUCUUGGUUCUCGCAUCGAUGAAGAGCGCAGCGAAAUGCGAUACCUAGUGUGAAUUGCAGCCAUCGUGAAUCAUCGAGUUCUUGAACGCACAUUGCGCCCCAUGGUAUUCCAUGGGGCAUGCCUGUCUGAGCGUCGUUUCCUUCUUGCGCAAGCAGAGUUGAGAACAGGCUAUGCCUUUUUCGAAAUGGAACGUCGUGGACGAAGUGAACUAAAUUUUUAGCACGCUUUGGCCGCCGAACUUUUAACUAAGCUCGACCUCAGAUCAGGUAGGAAUACCCGCUGAACUUAAGCAUAUCAAUAAGCGGAGGAA